GCGGGCGUCGCCAAGUGGUAAGGCAUUAGCCUUCCAAGCUAACACUCGUCGGUUCGAAUCCGAUCGCCCGCU
rnacentral:tRNA from 1 species